GGUAAGGUAACGGCUUACCAAGGCAACGAUGCAUAGCCGACCUGAGAGGGUGAUCGGCCACACUGGAACUGAGACACGGUCCAGACUCCUACGGGAGGCAGCAGUAGGGAAUCUUCCGCAAUGGGCGAAAGCCUGACGGAGCAACGCCGCGUGAGUGAUGAAGGUCUUCGGAUCGUAAAACUCUGUUAUUAGGGAAGAACAUAUGUGUAAGUAACUGUGCACAUCUUGACGGUACCUAAUCAGAAAGCCACGGCUAACUACGUGCCAGCAGCCGCGGUAAUACGUAGGUGGCAAGCGUUAUCCGGAAUUAUU
rnacentral:rRNA from 1 species